rnacentral:tRNA from 1 species
GGAGGGAUGACCGAGCGGUUUAUGGUGCUGGUCUUGAAAACCAGUGUGCACGUAUGUGUACCGUAGGUUCGAAUCCUACUCCCUCCGCCA